CCUGGGAGGAAGGAAGGGCUCUGGAUCCUCACUCAACCCAUGGCUGUCCGAGGCUUGCUGCUCUGGAAACAAAGAGUCACUUCAAAGUCAUUGGAUCAUGCUGUACUUCACCCCAAGCCCAUAGACAGAUCCCAGCAGGAAGAUCAAGUCGAAGCUGGGGUUAUACCUGAGAUCAUCCGUCUCUCAACACCCCUGGAGCAGAGGCCGGUGGGAGCUGGGUGCAGCCUACAGCAUCCCUUUCCAACACCUUGUGCCUUUACCCUGGCAUCCAGCUACAAUGAUGAGGUGCUACAAGAUUUCUGAACCAAGCUAUUCCUGAGUGUGUGUGAGUGAGGACCCCAGAGAAGCCUCCCAGCCAAGAAAGACAUCCAAACUACAGAUCCCUG
rnacentral:lncRNA from 1 species